rnacentral:rRNA from 1 species
UACGUAGGGGGCUAGCGUUGUCCGGAAUCAUUGGGCGUAAAGCGCGUGUAGGCGGCCCGGUAAGUCCGCUGUGAAAGUCGGGGGCUCAACCCUCGGAUGCCGGUGGAUACUGUCGGGCUAGAGUACGGAAGAGGCGAGUGGAAUUCCUGGUGUAGCGGUGAAAUGCGCAGAUAUCAGGAGGAACACCCAUUGCGAAGGCAGCUCGCUGGGACGUUACUGACGCUGAGACGCGAAAGCGUGGGGAGCAAACAGG